rnacentral:lncRNA from 1 species
ACCUUAACCACCAGUUUGGUCCUUGUGAGUUCGGUCUUUGUGGUGAGGAUGUUUCAGCUUGUGACUUACACCGUUGCCUAUUUCCAAUGUAAGAGCCUGCAAGGCAAAGACGUUGACUCGCUGAGGGAUGUGGAAUAUACGAAAUUGUCCUCCACUACUCUCAUGGGAGGAUUGCCUUGAUUAUAUCUAUAGAAGUGGUAUAUAGUUUGUUUGUCUUAAGAAUGUUGAAGUUCACCAUGGAUUCGGUAAAUGAGUUCUAAUAAUCAAAGUUUGUUUUCUUACAAAGUAAUAAUCAAAGGUUUGGUUGUAUAUGUAUGUAUAUAGCAAGGUAUUUUUGCUUUUCUAUACAAUGCCGCAUAUGAUUUGAUUAUCCAUUUCGAUCAAAGUGAGAAAACCACUAUACUACAACAAUUAUUAUCUUUUUGAUAUAAAGUUUUAUAGAAAGCAACCAAAAUAAUAAUUAGAAAAAGGUAUUCACCUGUUUUUUAUGUGUCGCUAUUCCAGAGAAGUCUGGUCUGCGCUAGUCUCCAAGCUUCUCUCCACGCGAUACACAACUAGAUGGCACCAUAUUAUCAACCUCUUAAAGGAGAACUCCUUAGGACAUGAUCAACUGUUUCUUCUAAGGUAUUGUUUUCAGCUCUCAAUACAUGCUCUGUGGGGAGAAAGAAACAAAAGAUGACAUGGCGAGACUCCAAUUCCAGCAAGCCAACUAGUCAAAAGACUGGAUAAGCAAGUUCGGAAUAGAAUUUCGUCGAUUCGCGAGCAAGGGGAUGGCAAAUACAGAGGUUGUAUGGUGACUUGGUUCAAAUCAAGAUAACCACAAGGCUUUAUCAAUUGUUUCUCAGAUUUUUUGGUUAAAACGAAUAUAUAAACUCUCGCUGUCUUAAAAAAAAUACUAUGUAACAAUGUUUUCCUUAAAAAUUUACUAUGUUCUUUGAAAUAUCAUGUCUUUU